UGGACUCCUUUUGGCUAGAGGUUCAAAAAUAAAGAAGCUAGUGUAUCCGCCUGGUUUCAUGGGAUUAGCUGCCUCCCUCUAUUAUCCACAACAAGCCAUCGUGUUUGCCCAGCCAGGAAAUGUGAAGAAUUCACCUGGAACUAAGUAGAAAACUCCAUGCUCUGCCAUCUUAAUCAGUUAUAGGUAAACAUUGGAAACUCCAUAGAAUAAAUCAGUAUUUCUACAGAAAAAUGGCAUAGAAGUCAGUAUUGAAUGUAUUAAAUUGGCUUUCUUCUUCAGGAAAAACUAGACCAGACCUCUGUUAUCUUCUGUGAAAUCAUCCUACAAGCAAACUAACCUGGAAUCCCUUCACCUAGAGAUAAUGUACAAGCCUUAGAACUCCUCAUUCUCAUGUUGCUAUUUAUGUACCUAAUUAAAACCCAAGUUAAAAAAAAAAA
rnacentral:lncRNA from 1 species